rnacentral:rRNA from 1 species
UACAGAGGGUGCAAGCGUUAAUCGGAAUUACUGGGCGUAAAGCGCGCGUAGGCGGUUCGUUAAGUUGGUUGUGAAAUCCCCGGGCUCAACCUGGGAACUGCAUCCAAAACUGGCGAGCUAGAGUAUGGUAGAGGGUGGUGGAAUUUCCUGUGUAGCGGUGAAAUGCGUAGAUAUAGGAAGGAACGCCAGUGGUGAAGGCGACCACCUGGACUGAUACUGACACUGAGGUGCGAAAGCGUGGGGAGCAAACAGG